rnacentral:snRNA from 1 species
GGAUGUGAGGGCGAUUUGGCUGCGACAUCUGUCACCCCAUUGAUCGCCAGGGUUGAUUCGGCUGAUCUGGCUGGCUAGGCGGGUGUCCCCUUCCUCCCUCACCGCUCCAUGUGCGUCCCUCCCGAAGCUGCACGCUCGGUCGAAGAGGAUGACCUUCCCCGAUAGAGGAGGACCAUUCUUCGGUCAAGGGUAUGCUAGUAGCUGCGCUCCCCUGCUAGAACCUCCAAACAAGCUCUCAAGGUCCAUUUGUAGGAGAACGUAGGGUAGUCAAGCUUCCAAGACUCCAGACACAUCCAAAUGAGGCGCUGCACGUGGCAGUCUGCCUUUCUUU